rnacentral:lncRNA from 1 species
CAGGAUAUGAUUGCUGGAGGAACAGACACGAGUGCUAUCACUGUGGAAUGGGCAUUAGCUGAGCUACUGAAGCAUCCAGAUUUGAUGGCUAAAGCACAGGAAGAACUUGACAACGUUCUAGGAAGAAAGUCUCAGGUUCAGGGGGGUCACCUUCCCAAGCUCGAAUAUCUUGCUGCAGUGAUCAAAGAAACGCUCCGGCUCCAUCCACCGGGUCCGCUGCUUAUCCACGAGACAACACAAAACUGUCAGCUCAAGAACGUAUUUGUACCACAAAAAACUCUAGCCUUUAUCAACCUCUAUGCAUUGGGCAGGGACGAGAGUACCUGGGUCGACCCUCUGAAGUUUGAUCCGAACAGGUUCAUAGAUAAGAAAAACGAUGGCUGUGGUCACGACUUUGGAGAUUACCUUCCAUUUGGAGCUGGUCGACGUGGUUGUCCUGGUAUGCAUCUGGCACUCACAGUGGUUUCGGUUACGUUGGCGAGCUUGUUGUAUGGCUUCAACUGGAAAAUGCCAGACGGUAUGAGCUUCGAGCAUUUGGAUAUGAGUGAGGGAGCUGGAUUCACCAUUCCCCGUGCACUUCCCUUGAAGCUUGUUCCUUUGCCUCGAUAAACAUAAAAACUGCUUUGUCUCCUGAUAAUUAAGAGGUUAGAUAAUACUUAAUAAUAAAUUGAGUUAAAAAAACGUUAAAUGUCAACAGUCGCGACCGGUGAGUGUCCAAAGGUGACGUACCGGUUUUACUGGAAAUCAUCGCAGUUCCAUUCUCAUCACGGAGCCUGCGAGCGAGGUUCCGGUCCAAGUCGAGGCUGCAGCAAGCGAUUCACUUCACGCCGAUCCUGAAAAGCAGCAGCAAGAUCAAGAGCAGCAAAAUCAUCCGCAGGAACAGCAGCAGCAUCAAGAAAAGCCAAACAAAUCCGGUCACAAGAACUGUGUACCUCCAGUUCUAGUCCAAAAUUUCAAGCGGCCCAUCUGGAACCGCGACGCUCACGUCGAUUACCGCUCCAUCUACGACCGGGACACCACUUGCGGUGUUUUCGUUGGGAAGCUCCAGCCUCCAUCGCCGCCCAGGAGACCGCCACCCAAGCCGAAGAGGCAGCCGUCUCUCGUGCUCACGCAGAUCACCCUCGACUACACCAAGUACGUCGAUCCUCCUGCGCCGGUUGCCUUGUCUCCAAGGGACCUCGCCGACUUUGAGGCCUCCUUCGCAACUACAAGCCCAAGAGACGUAAGUUCUUUCUUUCCCGUGCUAGAAACUUGAAAAGAAGCUUUUUUUACCUCCGCAGAAGAAAAAGAAGUAAGCGAUGGCAAGCACCUCC